GAAACUUCUGCACUUUGUCAAGAAAUAAGGAGUUUCUCAUGUGUCAAACAAGGCCCUUACACAUGUGCUAUAUAUUCAUUUUCCCCCAAAUUUUUCCACACACUACUCAUUAUAACAAAAUCUCUCAAAAAGCUCUUAAUUUCUCUCCCCCCUCCCUCUCUCAAAGAAUUUCGAUCGAAACUCCCUCUCUGCGACUUACAGCCACCUCGUGACCAGCAGCUCCACCGCCGCUCUGCACGUCCGACCGUUAGCGCCUCCCUCCGAUUCGGUGUACCCGCCUGCCUUUCUCUCGUUGGAAUUUCUCCCGGUCCGACGUCCUCCACCUCACAUGUACUCGGUCGGAACACCCUCAUUCGCGCCAAGAUCCUUUGCGUCGGACUUCCUCUCUUCUCCGAUCUUUCUUCUGAUCUUCUCUUGUUUUCCAGUUAUCUCCUCCGAUUACACUUCUCCAAUUUCAAUUGGUAA